rnacentral:lncRNA from 1 species
UCCUAUAACAAUCAUUUAUUGCACUUCGUUGUUUGUCAUGAACAAUUUUUAAUUUUUAACUAUAGCAAUAAUUUGUUGUCAAUCAUCAACAGCAUGCUUCAAUUUAUAAUCUAUAUCUCAUUUCAAAGGCACUUUUGGGUCACCAGUUUUGCAAAAAAAAAAUCUAUUAUUCCCAACAAAAACAAACAAAACAAAUACAAACUAUCAAUUAUACAUACACCAUAAUAUAAUAUAUACAGACGGAUAAUAACUUAAUGUCCCCUCCACUACAGCUGGGGCAUAAAAAUUGUAGUAAAGUAAGUGAGAUUAAAAUAUAUACUAUAAGAAUCAUUUAUUGCACUUCGUUGUUUGUCAUGAACAAUUUUUAACUAUAGCAAUAAUUUGCUGUCAACCAUUAACAGCAUGCUUCAAUUUAUAAUCUUAUCUCAUUUCAAAGGCACUUCUGCGUCACCAGUUUUACAAGAAAAAAAUCUAUCAUUCCCAACAAAAACAAACAAAACAAAUAUACAAACUCUUAAUCAUACAUAUACCAUAAUAUAAUAUAUACUAUGAAUAAACAAUUAAAAUAAUCAUGACUCAUAUAAUAUAAGUUGGAAAUACAACAUUGACUGUGACAGUUACACACAACCAAAUCUAUGUUGUCUUUGAUUGUGAAACUAUUUUGUUUUGAUAUUGAACGAAUAAAGUUUCAUUGCUUCAUUUAAAAAAAAAUUGGCAGGAAAUCAAUUAUUUAUGACAAUUUUCUGAAGAAAUUUCAAUCAUUUCAUGAUAUUUAGAUUUGGUUUCCAGACAACAUGACAGUUCAUUAUUUUUUUUUCUCCUACAGAUUGUAUAUCAAAACUGGGCUCCAUAUACUGUACUUAAUUUAGACUUAAAAUCAGUAAACUUAAUCCAAAAAGAAGACAUAGUUUUAAUAGUUCGGGGGAAAACGUUAAAACCUAGAAAAUAAAGUAAUAAGAUAUAAAUGCACUAAGAAAAAAUCUUACCAACUGGCAACACAAAUGUUUACUUAUUUAAAGGAAUCAUAAAGAGCUGCCAUUAAUUAUUUACAAUCAUUGAGCAGUUAAUUAGGAUAUUUUUUCUUAUGUUUUGAUUGAUGAAUUGUUUAGCAUUAUUCACUUACAGUUAAACCUUUUUGUACAAUAUUUGGAAACAACAAAUUUUCUAAACCCUGAGCAAUCUCCAGUUUGGUAUAUUUUAAAAAUAGACAUUUGUCCACAAAUAAAGAUCUAAUGAUAAACUUAUCUUUAUGCUGUUACCCAAUACAACAAUAAGGUAGACAAGAACUUAAGUGGGUGUACAAUAGAUAAUAUUAAAAUUUCUAUUAGUUACUAGUCAGAGUAAUUAUAUUUUUCCUAUAACAUGUAUAUAAGACUAUUUUGAUAUUACCGACUUUUGACUUCAGAGUUUAUAUUUUUUUUUCAACAGGUUAUCUACUCGGAGGCAGAACAUUAUGGUACUUUAUCAAGUAAGAAGUAAAGAAAUAAAAUCAAGCUCAUAAUCAGGUCAAUUCCGUUUGAUAUUUCUUUUUAAGGUUGCUAUACCCUACUGAGUACCACAGAGUAGGAAACGGCGAGUCGGGCAUAGCAUUUCCACACCCCUGAAUUAACCUGUAGAUUUUUUUUUCAAUCUGAAGUCAAAAGUAGGUUAUAUGAAUUGUGUGUUACAGGAAUAUAAAAUUGAGAUUAUCAUAUUAGAAUUCCAUGGAUCCAAUACUAGUUGCAGGAUUUACUAAUUUUUUGGGUAUACUUUAGGUGAGCAACAAAGUCAAAUUGUUCAAUAAAAUACAAAUUGUCUAUUUAUAAGAAUCACAAAAUUAAUUAUCAACAAAAUAUACAAUCUUUUUUUCAAUCCACUAUUCUAUAAAGCACAAACAUAUCAAAAUAUUAUAAAUACACAAUAUAGAAUUGUCAUACAAAAGGUC